UUGAAAGGGAAACGAUUGAAGUCAGUCGUACCAGCGGGAAAUCAACCUUUCGAGUGGGGUUUUGGAGUUUUGAAGAGUGUCAAACCUUCGAGAUUUCAAAAUGUUCGCUCUUUUGGUGUACUUUCUCGCAGGUAGGUUAACAUCGAUUUUGAUCAUCAUAAAAGGAUUGGAGGAAUGUAGCUUCGAUCUCGUAUUGAAGUGUUAUAGCCUUUGGUAAAUGUGAUGAUUAGGAUCGAGGAUUGCAACGAAUACCCUUUUGGGCUAUCCGCCUGAUCUCUGAUACGAGGCCUUGGUAUCGAAAGCGUGCUUAUGGUAUUAAGGUAUUACGGUCAAAAGGUUAGAACGGAUUAAAUUCGUUAAGGAUGUUGACGUA
rnacentral:rRNA from 1 species